rnacentral:rRNA from 1 species
AACGAACGCUGGCGGCGUGCCUAACACAUGCAAGUCGAACGAGAAAGGGGCUUCGGCUCCGAGUAAAGUGGCGCACGGGUGAGUAACACGUGGGUAACCUGCCUCUAAGAUUGGGAUAACUCGUCGAAAGAUGAGCUAAUACCGAAUAAGACCACAGUUCCCGCGGGAACAGGGGUCAAAGGUAGCCUCUGCUUGCAAGCUAUCACUUAGAGAUGGGCCUGCGCACCAUUAGCUAGUUGGUAGGGUAACGGCCUACCAAGGCAAAGAUGGUUAGCUGGUCUGAGAGGAUGAGCAGCCACACUGGAACUGAGACACGGUCCAGACUCCUACGGGAGGCAGCAGUGGGGAAUAUUGCGCAAUGGGCGAAAGCUUGACGCAGCAACGCCGCGUGAGUGAUGAAGGCCUUCGGGUCGUAAAGCUCUGUCGGGAGGAACGAAUGCUCCUGAGGUUAACAGCCUCGGGAGGUGACGGUACCUUCAAAGGAAGCACCGGCUAACUCUGUG